CACGUAGGGUGCGAGCGUUGUCCGGAAUUAUUGGGCGUAAAGAGCUCGUAGGCGGUCUGUCGCGUCGGCUGUGAAAACUCGGGGGCUCAACCCCGAGCCUGCAGUCGAUACGGGCAGACUAGAGUGCUGUAGGGGAGACUGGAAUUCCUGGUGUAGCGGUGAAAUGCGCAGAUAUCAGGAGGAACACCGGGUGGCGAAGGCGGGUCUCUGGGCAGUGAACUGACGUGGAGGAGCGAAAGCGUGGGGAGCGAACAGG
rnacentral:rRNA from 1 species